CAGAACUAGACAUAGUCAGCCUCCCUCCCCAGCAACAGAGGAUCAACACCCCGCUAGCUUUCUAGCAGAAGAUGAUGCUCCUGGGAGAGGAAAUAGCCAGCCUCACUCCCCAGCAGUAGCUGGCAACUCUGUGAAAGGUGGUAGCAGUAGUUAACCUCUCUCCCCAGCAACAGAGUGCAGUCCAGGGAGUGGAGGUAGUCGGUUGAUCACAACCAAGGGAGCAAAGGUUGCUGCCUUCCUCCAUAGCGGCUGAUGGAAACCCAGGGAGCAGAGGCAGAAGUAGACAGCCUCCCUCCCCAGCAACAGAGUGCAACCCAGGGAAUGGAGAUAGUCUGCUUUCCUCCCCAGUGAGAGGUGGUCGAGGUAGUCGGCCUCCCUCCCCACCGGCAAAUGGCAAUCCAGUGAGAGGAAGUAGAGUAGCCAGCCUCCCCAGCAGCAGUGUGAUGUUACAGGGAGGGGU